CACAUCUGAGGUGGCAUGAGGGUGUGUAAAUGAUGAGAGAGUUUUCAUUUUUGGGUGAACUAACUCUUUAAGUCUAAUGAACGCAUUUAACCAAACGUGAUUGGCACACAGGCUGCCAGUUUCUACUCAGUAAAUCUGACGGAAUCCAUGCAGACAAUUUAUAUUUAGUUUACGUUAGAUUUGUUUAUACACUGUCAGAAAAAAAGGUACAGUGCAGGUACAGUUUUGUUCCUAGGGGUACAAAAUAUAUAACUGUACCUUUAAAGGUCCACAAUAGGUCCUUAUGGUACAAUUAUGUACCCAAAACGACUUAUAAAGGUACAACAUUUUAGGUUUAGAUGUGAAAGGUCCAUUUUUUUUUUUUUUUUACAGUUUAGCUCUAACUGGAAUAACGUAUGUCUUUUUUUAUUAUUAUUAAUUUAAUGUAUGUCAGCUCAUGAUAACAUCAAGACACCAUAUUAAGUUGUUUUAAAUGUUAAAAAUAUAUUUUGUAGGCCUAUACAUAAGAUUAGGCUACAUGUCAUGUAGGCUAUAUGAAUAUAUACUUCACUUCAUGUAGCCUAUCCUGUCUGUAAAAUUAGACAAAUGUUAUUUCAAAACAUGUUAAUGAAUUUAUUAAAUGAAAUAUUUUUAAUAAUUUUACAUGUUUGUUGUAAUGUAGUAUUAAUUUUUUGUUUAAAAAACUUUUUUUAUCAAAUUAAUGAACUUUUGACCGUCGCAUCAAAAACAGUCAGAUUUUUUUUUUUAAGAUGCUGAAUUAAAUUUGGAAUAAAGACCAUGAUGAACGGCAACAAAACAUUCAAAACAUACACUAUAUUGCCAAAAGUAUUCGCUCACCCAUCCAAAUAAUUGAAUUCAGGUGUUCCAAUCACUUCCAUGGCCACAGGUGUAUAAAAUGAAGCACCUAGGCAUGCAGACAUGCUUCUACAAACAUUUGUGAAAGAAUGGACUGCUCUCAGGAGCUCAGUGAAUUCCAGCGUUGUACUGUGAUAGGAUGCCACCUGUGCAACAAGUCCAGUUGUGAAAUUUCCUCGCUACUAAAUAUUCCACAGUCAACUGUCAGUGGUAUUAUAACAAAGUGGAAGCGAUUGGGAAUGACAGCAACUCAGCCACGAAGUGGUAGGCCACGUAUAAUGACAGAGCAGGGUCAGGGUCGUUGGAUGCAGUGGCGUAAAGCACGCCGCCACUGGACUCUAGAGCAGUGGAGACGCGUUCUCUGGAGUGACGAAUCACGCUUCUCCAUCUGGCAAUCUGAUGGACGAGUCUGGGUUUGGCGGUUGCCAGGAGAACGGUACUUGUCUGACUGCAUUGUGUCAACUGUGAAUUUGGUGGAGGGGGGAUUAUGGUGUGGGGUUGCUUUUUCAGGAGCUGGGCUUGGCCCCUUAGUUCCAGUGAAAGGAACUCUGAAUGCUUCAGCAUACCAAGAGAUUUUGGACAAUUCCAUGCUCCCAACUUUUUGGGAACAGUUUGGGGUGCCCCUUCCUGUUCCAACAUGACUGCGCACCAGUGCACAAAGCAAGGUACAUAAAGACAUGGAUGAGCGAGUUUGGUGUGGAAGAACUUGACUGGCCUGCACAGAGUCCUGACCUCAACCCGACAGAGCACCUUUGGGAUGAAUUAGAGCGAAGACUGCGAGCCAGGCCUUCUCGUCCAAUAUCAGUGUCUGACCUCACAAAUGUGCUUCUGGAAGAAUGGUCAAAAAUUCCCAUAAACGCACUCCUAAACCUUGUGGAAAGCCUUCCCAGAAAAGUUGAAGCUGUUAUAGCUGCAAAGGGUGGGCCGACGUCAUAUUAAACCCUAUGGAUGUAAGAAUGGGAUGUCACUUAAAUUCAUAUGCGUCUGAAGGCAGAUGAGCGAAUACUUCUGGCAAUAUAGUGUACUUUAUUGCUUAUGCAGACGUUUCGGUUGUUGUCGCUUUAAGAGACUUCCCGCUUGGCUUGAGUCUUUCAGUGCGGUCUGACAGAACUUCAGAACACGAUUUUCAGAAUCGAGCACUUUUUGGAGGACACAUUUUUCAGGUAAGUUUUCGGGAUAAUGUUAUAUAUUAUUUUUUCCACGUAUGAUGGCAUGUUCUGUUGAUUGUCUAAUUCGUUGUUCCCCUGCUUAAAGCCCGCGAAAAGUACUCCAGUCAGACUGGCUGUUGUACGUUACUGACCGAUUCGGAAGAGCCUUCAGAAGUUCAGAAUGGAGUUGGGGAAACUGUCUACCGCUCAAUUAAUAACGGAGCUAAGGCAGUCUCUGAGGAGAGGAAAAAAUCAGGUAAUAUCAGCCCAUCAGCUGCUUUUCCUGCACUUUUUGAAGUUCCUAAGUUUCCUUUUGAUGUUCAGGCUAAAUUGGAUCAAAAACAAAGCAAACUUUCAGCAUCAGAUAGGAUCAAAAUUAUAAGAACAUUGUAUGAAAGCAUGGCUCAGUACAGUAUGUAAGUAUUCCCCAUUAACUGUGCCAAGGUCUUAAUGGGUUACAUUUUAAUACAAUUUUAAACCAAAAUUUUUACGCUACACUCGUGUUUAAGAGAUUUCUGCAGGUAUCCGACUAAAGAGUAUGUUCAAGUGGCGAAGGCCCUGACUCUGAGGUACCCCUUUUUCAAGGACAAAGAGGGCAAUGGAUAUUUUAAAUUUGAGCGGACACCUUUUGGCUGAUGUUGAAGAAGUGAAAAGACUUAAACAGAAGUUUGGUCAUUCAAAAAUGUCUCCGCAACCUGAAAAAAUCACUUGCAAACAAAUUACAAGGACUGUGGUGAGAAUUUUAUAAUCUUUUUACAAUGUUACAUGUUACCAGUGUAUUGUUCUCAAAUUUGUCAUAAGUGACGAUGCAAACAUUUUAAUUUUCUUGCCUAGAAAUUAGAAAUAAUGUUCUACCUGAUUGUUUUUGUCUGUGCACAAGGAUAUGGAUGUUGUUUGAGAGGACGCUACCUCAAUAGAGGGACAUGUGAAAGUCCUACAGGACCAAUGUUGAAAGACACAGUCAGAUACUCGCAUUGUUGAAGAGCGAAUGAGGAGGACCUUUGCCUGGAGGCGGAAGAUUACUGGUGGGAUGACUGUUGAAGAUGUUGUCAGAUAUCCAUUCUUGAAGAGUCCAUCAGGGGGUCAGUGUGCAAAUUAUACAAGUACACAAACCCAUUAACAUGUAGGACACAAACCGUAUAAAAUCCUGAUUUUUCUUAUGCUUUUUUUUUUUUUUUUUAACUAAUUUCGGCUUUAUCAAGAAAUUGGUUUCCUGUAUAAGUCUGUUAAUCUCUGCUGGCACUUUCAAGAAAUUUUGGAAACAUUGCAUCCAGUGUACUACAGCUUGCUCAAGGGAAAUCUCUUUUAGCAAAGCUGCACAAAGAAGCUAGAGAAGAAUCUCGUUGAAGACCAUCUUGGUAACUGACUUUUUUUAUUUUUUAUUUUUUUUAUCCUAUUUAUUAAAUGGCCAGUUCACCCUAAACUGAAAAUUGUCAUUGAUUACUCACCCUCAUGUCUUUCCAAACCUGUAAGACUUCUGUUCAACACAAAUGAAGAUAUUUACAAGUACAGCCAUGUCAAUUUUGAAGGCAAACUGCUUCAGCGAGUAACAGAAGUAGAGAUUAAUGAUGUCAAAUAUUGUGUUAAAGAUGCGUUUACUGUGGGUCACCUGCAUGCAGAAGUUCCAUUUGGUUUUUUUUUGUUUUUUUUUCAAAUUAAGUACAUUCUUAACAUGGACACAGACUGGUUAUUGUGUGGGAAGCUGUUAAUUCCUGACUCAUUUUGUCAACAUUAUUAUUCAUACUGCGUGAAAUGAGAAUGAAUGGACUGUCCUCUCACUAGGUGAGGAGGUUGAUUACCAGGCACUAGAUACCUACAGUGUUGAUCACAAAUUAUUUAUUAGCACUUGGUAUUCUUGCUGAAGAACAACUGCCCUAUGCUGUAAACCUCAAUGUGCAGCACAUGAUAUAGCCCGUUUAAUUAGCUGUAUAUCAAUGUAUAACAGUUCUUUUAUUUUUCUGAUUUAAUUUGUAAGGAUUCUGCAGUACAGACAAUUUCUUGUAUUCCUGUUAAUUUUUUAAAGGUGAUACUGUUUUAUACCUCUGAUUAUAUUUGAGUAAUGUCUGAAGCUUUUAUGUGCGAUGAACAAUUGUCUUGACUCACACCUACUGUUGUGGUGAUGUAAUGCAUUUCAAGUAAUUAUUUGUAAAAGUUU